rnacentral:rRNA from 1 species
AGAGUUAUGAUCCUGGCUCAGGAUGACCGCUGGCGGUAUGCUUCACACAUGCAAGUCGAACGGUCUCUAUCGGAGAUAGCGCGCGGRCGGGUGAGCUACCGCGUGAGAAUCUGSGCUCUAGGUCGUGGGACMWCCGCUGGAMMCGGUGGCUAAUVCCGGGUGUGCCGAAAGGUGAAAGGUUAACYGCCUGGAGAUGAGCUCGCGUCUGAUUAGCUAGUUGGUAGGGUAAAGGCUUACCAAGGCGACGAUCAGUAGCUGGUCUGAGAGGACGAUCAGCCACACUGGGACUGAGACACGGCCCAGACUCCUACGGGAGGCAGCAGUGGGGAAUUUUCCGCAAUGGGCGAAAGCCUGACGGAGCAAUACCGCGUGAGGGAGGAAGGCUCUUGGGUUGUAAACCUCUUUUCUCAGGGAAGAAUAAUGACGGUACUUGAGGAAUAAGCAUCGGCUAACUCCGUGCCAGCAGCCGCGGUAAUACGGAGGAUGCAAGCGUUAUCCGGAAUGAUUGGGCGUAAAGCGUUCGCAGGUGGCAUUGAAAGUCUGCUGUCAAAGAGUCUGGCUCAACCAGGUACAGGCAGUGGAAACUUCAAAGCUAGAGUGCGGUAGGGGCAGAGGGAAUUCCUGGUGUAGCGGUGAAAUGCGUAGAGUUCAGGAAGAACACCGGUGGCGAAAGCGCUCUGCUAGACCGCAACUGACACUGAGGGACGAAAGCUAGGGGAGCGAAAGGGAUUAGAUA